rnacentral:rRNA from 1 species
GACGAACGCUGGCGGCGUGCUUAACACAUGCAAGUCGAACGAUGAAGCCGGAGCUUGCUCUGGUGAAUUAGUGGCGAACGGGUGAGUAACACGUGAGUAACCUGCCCUUGACUCUGGGAUAACUGCGGGAAACUGUAGCUAAUACCGGAUACGACCCUCGGAGGCAUCUCCUGGGGGUGGAAAGAAUUUCGGUCAAGGAUGGACUCGCGGCCUAUCAGCCAGUUGGUGAGGUAAAGGCUCACCAAGGCGACGACGGGUAGCCGGCCUGAGAAGGUGACCGGCCACACUGGGACUGAGACACGGCCCAGACUCCUACGGGAGGCAGCAGUGGGGAAUAUUGCACAAUGGGCGCAAGCCUGAUGCAGCAACGCCGCGUGAGGGAUGACGGCCUUCGGGUUGUAAACCUCUUUUAGCAGGGAAGAAGCGAAAGUGACGGUACCUGCAGAAAAAGCACCGGCUAACUACGUGCCAGCCGCCGCAGUAA